CUGUAAGUGGUAGGAUUCUCAGCUAUUUCUCAAGCACCACGUCUGACUGCAUGCUGUCAUGCUCUCUGUCAUGAUGAUAAUGGAAUGAACCUCUGGAACUAAGAAGCAUCCUUAAGCCAAGCCUGGUGGUCCAAGACUGCAAUUCUUGCUACUUAGAAGGCUGAGACAGGAGGAUCCCAACUUCAAUUUCUGACGGAUUCUAGGGCUUUGCCGGCAAGAGCCUCCCUGGCUGAUGAUCAUCCUGCAUGCUACCACGGAGUGAGUUGGAUUCCGAGAGUUGGCUUGGUUUCUAAAGACCUGCCAGCUCCAAUUGUGACAGAGGAGUGCAUAAACAACCCAAAGGGGGAGAGAAUGGGCCUGGGGUGACAGAGACCACCAGAGUUUCCCAAAGAAAGCUCUGUCUCAUGUCUUGGAUGAGUCACUGAUAUUAGCACUGGGGAAUAGCAUCAAGGCAAGAGGCUGUGUGCCUCUUUGCAUCUGAACACUUCAGGCUAUCACUCUUUGCUUGGAGGAAGAGCUGUCAUCCACCUGUCCAUCGUGAUUGACUUAGACGCAUUGGUUCUUAAAAGUGACCCAGUAUUGCAGAAUAUUCCUUUAUACUGUGUGAAGAUAUGCUGUUGUGAUUGGUUUAAUAAAAAGCUAACGGACCAAUAGCUAAGCAGGAUUUGGGGGGCAGAGAGAGUGCUGGGAAGAAGAAGGGCAGAAAAGCCAAUCAGACUGAGUCAGACACAUAAAAUGGAAUAGAGCUACUUGGUAGAAUGGAGAUUAAUAAAAAUAUGGACUAAUUUAAGUCAUAAGAGCUAGAUAGGAACAGAG